CCUACGGGUGGCAGCAGUCGAGAAUCAUUCACAAUGGGGGAAACCCUGAUGGUGCGACGCCGCGUGGGUGAAUGAAGGUCUUCGGAUUGUAAACCCCUGUCACGUGGGAGCAAACUAAAAAGAUAGUACCACAAGAGGAAGAGACGGCAAACUCUGUGCCAGCAGCCGCGGUAAUACAGAGGUCUCAAACGUUGUUCGGAAGCACUGGGCGUAAGUCGUGCGUGGGCUGUUUCGUAAGUCGUGUGUGAAAGGCGAGGGCUCAACCCGCGGACGGCAGAUGAUACUGCGAGACUAGAGUGAUGGAGAGGGAACCGGAAUUCUCGGGGUAGCAGUGAAAUGCGUAGAUAUCGAGAGGAACACUCGUGGCGAAGGCGGGUACCUGGACAUUAACUGACGCUGAGGCACGAAGGCCAGGGGAGCGAAAGGGAUUAGAUACCCCAGUAGUC
rnacentral:rRNA from 1 species